AAGGCUUUCGGGUCGUAAAACUCUGUUGUUAGGGAAGAACAAGUGCUAGUUGAAUAAGCUGGCACCUUGACGGUACCUAACCAGAAAGCCACGGCUAACUACGUGCCAGCAGCCGCGGUAAUACGUAGGUGGCAAGCGUUAUCCGGAAUUAUUGGGCGUAAAGCGCGCGCAGGUGGUUUCUUAAGUCUGAUGUGAAAGCCCACGGCUCAACCGUGGAGGGUCAUUGGAAACUGGGAGACUUGAGUGCAGAAGAGGAAAGUGGAAUUCCAUGUGUAGCGGUGAAAUGCGUAGAGAUAUGGAGGAACACCAGUGGCGAAGGCGACUUUCUGGUCUGUAACUGACACUGAGGCGCGAAAGCGUGGGGAGCAAACAGGAUUAGAUACCCUGGUAGUCCNCGCCGUAAACGAUGAGUGCUAAGUGUUANAGGGUUUCCGCCCUUUAGUGCUGAAGUUAACGCAUUAAGCACUCCGCCUGGGGGAGUACGGCCGCAAGGCUGAAACUCAAAGGAAUUGACGGGGGCCCGCACAAGCGGUGGA
rnacentral:rRNA from 1 species